GCAAAGCCAUCAUAAAAAGUGAGCAUGGGCCAGGAGCUGUUGAAAAUAUGAGAAGAUUGAAAAUAAGUAAUGAUAAAAAUGAAAUGGACAAACAGGAUGGAAUAAAUAUAAAUAAGUAAUGUUAGUAAAGAGCUAAGCCAAUAUACUGGUACUGCUGGACAGCACUAAGGGUGUAAGUGAGCUUGGUAAGACUGGAUGGUAUACCGCAAACAUGACUUUCCUCUCACUAAGUUCAGUUUCCUUGGUACAAGUGUGGUAUGGAGUGACAGCAUGAUUAACCAAGGUAGGGGUUUGCCGGGUAAUAAUGCAAGAAUGCCAGGCACCAACUAUGAGCCACAAAUUUAUGCUGGAUAGAAAGCGAAAUAAGACUAUGAGGGGUAUCAGGAAUACUGAAAUGCCAGGAACGCCUGGUGGUGGAACCAAAGAAAUGUCAAAAAUAGAUUGUGUUUUAGAUCACACCAUAAUCCAAUGGCUUAAAACAAUAAUAAUUUUUCUCACUUAUCUAGGGUGGGCCUGCCAUCAAGUCACAAACAGCCAGAUUUUCAUCAUGUCUCCCUCGUUCUCUUGUUGCAUCAGGGUUGUCAAAGUAUGUUUUGCUGUUUCAGUUUCCUAUCAGUUGACCAAAGUCAGUCACAUGGUAGAGCCAGAAGUAAUGAGGUGGUGCCCGAAUGGGGACCUGAACAGAGACCUGAGUAUGGAGGGAUCCAGUGAAGGACACCGCAGAGAAGAACGAGGCCUCAAAGAAAAGCACUUCCUACUGCUAGAUACCUGCAGGAAUGGUGAGAGAUGCCUGAAGAGAGAUGUGAGAACACUUGCUGCUCCCAGUUUCAUCGCAACCCACUCAAAGACUAGCCAACAUGCCUGCUGCCCAAAGACACAGAAGGAAGCCUACCAGGUAACAGUUCAGUGCAGACCAACAAAAUACCUAAGAAAUAAGAAAUGGUUGUCAUCAUAAACCACCAAGUUUUGAGGAGCAGUUAUGCAAUGUCUAUAGCAAUAAAUAAUUACUAUAGGAACCCAGAGAUUACAGCUGAGAGUUUACAUACUUACAUGACUGUCUGUUUGGAAUGUUUUUUAAAUCAAGAGACUUAAAGGCACAAAAGGAGAGAUGUGUGACUUGAGAGGAAAGAGAAGAUCAUUUGCUAAAAACCCCCUUGACAAAAGAGAAAUCAUUUUUCUGUAACUCGAAAAUACAUUUUAAAAUUUCCUUUAGCAUUUUACACAGCAUCUUUAAGCAGGAGCAAUAAUAAAAAUUGUGUACUUUUUUUUUUGUACCAGGGAUCGAACUCAGGACCUUGCACUUGUGAGACAGGCAGUGGCACCACUGAGCUAAAUCCCUGGUCCCAUGCACACAUUUGAUAUAAGUUCAUUACAGAAGCAUUUCUUUUUCCUUCUUUCCAGGGCCAUGGACAUUUUAGAAUCUGGCUGUGCUUAUGCAGGAAUAUUUUGGGAGGUCUGAGAAGUUCAGAAAACAUGUGCAAAGGAGAUUAGCCACCUGCCUUCCAUAUCUCAUACCCCUAUAGAAUUACAGACAUCCUUCUGAUGACACACAGACCCCUGUAGGAAAUGGAAUAAUCUGUUCCUUGGGUAGAUAUAUGGGGGCUGGGUGAUUAUAGGAAGGAGACUCCAGUAUGGGAGUUGCUGAAACAAACAAGAAAAUUGCUAUCUUAGAGACAAAGGGGAAAGGCACACCAUAAGUACUUUUGCAUUCUGUACACACAAGCUUUCCUUGUGGACACAGGCAGUCGAGCAAAUAGAAGUUCUAGGUGACCUUAGGUCAGGGGCUUUGCUUCCUACCAGAGGAUAGCGCGAUUCUUUUUGACUCUCACAAACUCACCACAGGGUAGUAAUAUGAUAUAGGCAGCAUAACUCAGUUUUAAUCCACUAAAUGUCAGCAAGCAAAAUACAGUCC
ensembl:lincRNA